UACGAAGGUGGCAAGCGUUGUUCGGAUUUACUGGGCGUAAAGGGAGCGUAGGUGGUUAGGUAAGUCCUCCGGGAAAUCUUCAGGCUUAACCUGAAAAGGUCGGGGGGGACUGCCUGGCUAGAGGACGGGAGAGGAGCGCGGAAUUCCCGGUGUAGCGGUGAAAUGCGUAGAGAUCGGGAGGAAGGCCGGUGGCGAAGGCGGCGCUCUGGAACGUUUCUGACACUGAGGCUCGAAAGCGUGGGGAGCAAACAGG
rnacentral:rRNA from 1 species